GAUGAACGCUGGCGGCGUGCCUAAUACAUGCAAGUCGAGCGAACAGACGAGGAGCUUGCUCCUCUGACGUUAGCGGCGGACGGGUGAGUAACACGUGGAUAACCUACCUAUAAGACUGGGAUAACUUCGGGAAACCGGAGCUAAUACCGGAUAAUAUAUUGAACCGCAUGGUUCAUUAGUGAAAGACGGUUUUGCUGUCACUAAUAGAUGGUUCCGCGCCGCAUUAGCUAGUUGGUAAGGUAACGGCUUACCAAGGCAACGAUGCGUAGCCGACCUGAGAGGGUGAUCGGCCACACUGGAACUGAGACACGGUCCAGACUCCUACGGGAGGCAGCAGUAGGGAAUCUUCCGCAAUGGGCGAAAGCCUGAUGGAGCAACGCCGCGUGAGUGAUGAAGGUCUUCGGAUCGUAAAACUCUGUUAUUAGGGAAGAACAAAUGUGUAAGUAACUAUGCACGUCUUGACGGUACCUAAACAGAAAGCCACGGCUAACUACGUG
rnacentral:rRNA from 1 species